rnacentral:rRNA from 1 species
GACGAACGCUGGCGGCGUGCCUAAUACAUGCAAGUCGAACGCAGUGGGGACGGGUGAGUAACACGUGGGUAACCUCCCAUCAGAGGGGAUAACACUUGGAAACAGGUGCUAAACCGAUACUGAUGGAUGGACCCGCGUUGCAUUAGCUAGUUGGUGAGGGAACGGCUCACCAAGGCCACGAUGCAAAGGUGACAGGAGGGGGUGAGAGGCCACACUGGGACUGAGACACGGCCCAGACUCCUACGGGAGGAAGCAGGAGGGAAUCUUCGGCAAGGGAGGAAAGUCUGACCGAGCAACGCCGCGUGAGUGAAGAAGGUUGUCGGAUCGUAAAACUCUGUUGUUAGAGAAGCGGUAUCUAACCAGAAAGCCACGGCUAACUACGUGCCAGCAGCCGCGGUAAUUC